AUGGAGGUUUGGUUGAAAUUGGUUACGACGACGUCGAGUUGGCGGCGGAGGAAGACUCGGCAUGAAGGCCAGAAAAUGGUGUGGAACGUAGUGGUAAUAGUAUGCGCCCCGCUCCGAAACAAAGAAAAAGGUGCGUGCCGCACUCACGAGGGACUGCCAGUGAGAUACUGGAGGAAGGUGGGGAUGACGUCAAGUCCGCAUGGCCCUUAUGGGCUGGGCCACACACGUGCUACAAUGGCAAUGACAAUGGGAAGCAAGGCUGUAAGGCGGAGCGAAUCCGGAAAGAUUGCCUCAGUUCGGAUUGUUCUCUGCAACUCGGGAACAUGA
rnacentral:rRNA from 1 species